rnacentral:rRNA from 1 species
CCCCCCCAAAAACGAAAGUGUGAUGGGGUUACCCAAAGUGUUCAAUUUGAACUGUGGUAGGUGAGUAAUGUCCCCCCCUUUAAAGGAGAGGGCAAGGCUGGUGCCAGCCGCCGCGGUAAAACCAGCUCUUCAAGUGGUCGGGAUAAUUAUUGGGCUUAAAGUGUCCGUAGCCGGUUUAGUAAGUUCCUGGUAAAAUCGGGUAGCUUAACUAUCUGCAUGCUAGGAAUACUGCUAUACUAGAGGGCGGGAGAGGUCUGAGGUACUACAGGGGUAGGGGUGAAAUCUUAUAAUCCUUGUAGGACCACCAGUGGCGAAGGCGUCAGACUGGAACGCGCCUGACGGUGAGGGACGAAAGCCAGGGGAGCGAACCGGAUUAGAUACCCGGGUAGUCCUGGCCGUAAACGAUGCAUACUAGGUGAUGGCACGGCCAUGAGCCAUGUCAGUGCCGUAGGGAAACCGUUAAGUGUGCCGCCUGGGAAGUACGGUCGCAAGAUUGAAACUUAAAGGAAUUGGCGGGGGA